AAGAUGUUAACUUAAGUAAAAGUGUUAGAUUUUUAAUCUGAAAAUGCGUGUGCACAUCUUA
rnacentral:tRNA from 1 species